AAAAGAUUAGUUAAACCUAUAACAUUAGUUUGUCAAAUUAAAAUUAUUUAUUUUAAGUAUCUUUUA
rnacentral:tRNA from 1 species